AUAUUAUACGUGGGAACUAAACAAGAUUAACUGUUCUUAUCAGUUUAAUUAAUAUCUGAUGUGUGGGCCAUGUGCUCACUUCGAUAUUAAAUUUAUUAUUUGUGGGGGAGGACUCAUCACAGUGGCAAGCCCUUGCCACUGGGGCCCUCGCGCGUCGCCCAUGCGUUGCACUGCUGCCCGGGCCUGGCGCACCCAAC
rfam:Oryza glumipatula chromosome 7, whole genome shotgun sequence.